CCCCCAUCGUUCAAACCCUCCCUCCCCGGCCUUUUCCCGGCUAGGGUUUCUGACCGCCCUUCCGUCUCCCGUCGCCAUGGAGAGUUCCUCCUGAUCUUUCGAUUCGAUCUGUUGACCCAUGAUUUAUUGUUUUCCCUUCUGAUUCGUGUCUUUGAUUGGUGAAACUCCGUGAAUAGCCGCAGAGGAUCUCCGUCGAGCUUCUCCGCCGAAGCGCAGGAGGCUCGGGAGGUCCACAAGCGAUCGAAUUUUACCCCAGAGGUUUUGGGUAUUGAAGGAAGAAUGUUUUCCAGGAAUCGUUAUGCGGAGAAGGUGCUGAUGAAGAAGUUGUAAGCAUCCUUUGCAUCGUCCUUGAAGUUUGAUUUCCUAAACUUGUCUCAGUAAUGUAGGUCCGAAUGGCGGGGAUCUCGUCGUCACUGAAGUGGCGGGCUGCGUAGAUCAGGCCGCGUCGAGGUUGAUCGCGGUGUUCCGUAGAGGAGGCCUCCUUUGCUCUGCCUCCCAAGGGCGCUAACCUCGUCUUCUCACCUGCACAUAGGUCGGGUCGGGGGGCUCGGCCCGACCCCUCCGACGAUCAAGUUAGUGAUGCGGAGUGGGAGCGGGUUACGUCUGACACUGGUGUUGGCGUGGCGUGAAGGAUCGAGUCUGAACAGAUCGUUAAUGGGCCUCGGUCUGCGUUCUGGUUCGUUUGACCAGGUUCCGUCGGGUAGGUUGAGGUGUGAGGCGUCGUCUGGGACAGCUGACGUCUGCGCGGGUCUUGUCACCAUUUAUUACCCUCAUCAGACAGUAACGGCUUGCUGUCCAUGAUGAAUCAUCAAAUCUCCAUUAGGUGGUCGACAAGGUUCAUGAUGAAGCUACUCCUGCAUCUUUUAGAUUGGGAUACGACAACAUGGAAAAAGAUGAUCCUCAAACAACACUUAAGCAGAAAAAGGAGGAAAAGGCUGGCAAUUGAAAGGUCCCCUUACCAAUGUACAAUCUGGAGAGUGAAUAACAGGCACAUUGCUACCAAAUGCAUUUAUGAAUUUAGAGGCAAAUGCUGGUGGUUGGCCUUGGACAUGCAAAGGAAAUUAUAAAGCUGGACAACAAUGAAUUACAAUAUGUUUGCUAAUCAGUCAUGCUGUUCACUGGUUAAUUAGUACCAAUAAUAGUUCUCCCAAUGAAGCCAUAAUCUCGUUGUUACAUUAUCUGUUUUAUUUGUUAUGCUGAUAAUUAAUAGCAAUCACUUUUUUACUAUGUUAAAGCGAAAGAACAUAAAAUAAAAUUUUUAAUUCCUAAAGAUAUGUUUAUCGUCGUGCGAAAAUUGAUGCAUAAAAAUUUGUGAAAUAGAAAACCACGUGUGAGAUAAAUUGUAUUACCUAAGGAGAUCGUAUAUUCCUAAAUUCCUGUUUAUCUCUAGAAGAGGGUGAAUGAGGUCAAGUGUUCUUCUCUCUAGCAUUGAUCCACACAACAGAGCUACGAUGACGUUCCUCAAAACUUCAUGUCUUGUUUUGAGGUGGAAAGGAGAAGGACAAUAGGAGAGAAAACAAAAAGCUCUAGCUUAUAAAUUAUUGAAAUCCUUCUAUUUAUAAAGGUCCUUUAUCAACUUAACUCUAAUAGAUCCCCCUAUUAGGUAUUAUAUCUCCAUCCAAUUACUAAAGCCUCUUAUAUUAGUGGAUCUCUAUCCAAUAAUCUCUUGUGAGCUCUUAUUGGAUUUAAUCCAUAGGAUCUAAUAAUUCAGGGGCUUAUUUGAUAUCUAAUAAGAUAGGGGCUCCAGCGGAUAUCUCAUAUCUGAACCUCUACUUAUCGUAAUGUCUACCAUAUGUGUAUGAUCCUAUAAGCUCAAUAUCGAGUUACUUAUCGUAAUGUCUACCAUAUGUGUAUGAUCUUAUAAGCCCAAUAUCGAGUUGGUCAUGAGUCAUACCUAUCAUAACUCCUUCUGACUCAGUGAAUUAUUAUCUUCAUCGACUGCGAACGUACUAGGCCACUACGUCGUAGUUCCUAGACGAUACAGGGGAAUCCAAUCCAUUGGAUCUAUCUGUCCUCAGUUACCGUGUAUCUAUAGUCCCUCAUCCUCUAAUAUCCUAGAGAUCGUUUAAUGGGCAUGGUGUUGUCAGACCCAUGUAGUUUCUACUCGAGUCUCGCUCUAAUCGGAUUCUCACGGAGAACUCUUUCUCUCUCAAUUCGAAUGACCCUGACCAGAUAUUUGUUUGAGCAAAAACACAUGAAAUAGUGACUACUCGAGUCUCGCUUUAAUCGGAUUCUCACGGAGAACUCUUUCUUUCUCAAUCCAAAUGACCCCGACCAGAGAUUUGUUUGAAUAAGAAUACAUGAGACAGUUUAUACUCGAGUCUCGUUCUAAUUGGAUUCUCACGAAGAACUCUUUCUCUCUCAAUCCGAAUGACCCUAACUAGAGAUUUGUUUGAGCAAGAAUACAUAAGAUAUUCCUCUCAUUACACCGAGAGUGGAUGAUCCUCUAUCAACACUCAAUAACCCUCGUAAGGUUGACUACCACUCCCGAUGAUUGGUUGUGCUAGAUCUGGGACAUCCAAACCUAUAAGUCAAGUAUCAAUGAGUGGAGCACUCAUACAGGACAUCCUUUGUGUCUCAAGUUUAAGGACCAGAUAUACCACUUAGACUACGGAAUCGCUGUCUAACAAAAAGGCAUCAUCAACCAUUUAGUAUUUCAUAAGCGGAUAAACUCAUUCCCCAAUUAGCACCUGUAUUGUAUCCAUAUUAUCCCCAUACGAGCAGCUAUAAGACCAGUUGUAUUCAUCAUAUGGAUGGGUAUACAACAUAUUAAUUUAUCCGGUUAUCUCGAUAUCCUCUCGAAUAAGCUAUAACCAAGAUUAUUUAAGAUAUGUGUUCAAAGACGAA